rnacentral:rRNA from 1 species
CUGACGAGUGGCGGACGGGUGAGUAAUGUCUGGGAAACUGCCUGAUGGUGGGGGAUAACUACUGGAUACGGUGGCUAAUACCGCAUAACGUCGCAAGACCAAAGAGGGGGACCUUCGGGCCUCAUGCCAUCAGAUGUGCCCAGAAGGGAUUAGCUUGUUGGUGAGGUACCGGCUCACCAAGGCGACGAUCCCUAGCUGGUCUGAGAGGAUGACCAGCCACACUGGAACUGAGACACGGUCCAGACUCCUACGGGAGGCAGCAGUGGGGAAUAUUGCACAAUGGGCGCAAGCCUGAUGCAGCCAUGCCGCGUGAUAGAAGAAGGCCUUCGGGAUGUAAAGUACUUUCAGCGGGGAGGAAGGUGUUGAGGUUAAUAACCACAGCAAAUG